UCCCAGGAAGGAGAGUGCCCUGCGUGCCAAA
rnacentral:piRNA from 1 species